rnacentral:rRNA from 1 species
GUCGAACGGCAGCGGGGAGGAGCUUGCUUCUCUGCCGGCGAGUGGCGAACGGGUGAGUAAUACAUCGGAACGUGUCGAGAAGAGGGGGAUAACCACCCGAAAGGGUGGCUAAUACCGCAUAAAUUCUGAGGAAGAAAGCUGGGGACCUAGGAAUAGGCCUAGCGCUUUUUGAGCGGCCGAUGUCGGAUUAGCUAGUUGGUGAGGUAAAGGCUCACCAAGGCGAAGAUCUGUAGCGGGUCUGAGAGGAUGAUCCGCCACACUGGGACUGAGACACGGCCCAGACUCCUACGGGAGGCAGCAGUGGGGAAUUUUGGACAAUGGGGGCAACCCUGAUCCAGCCAUGCCGCGUGUAUGAAGAAGGCCUUAGGGUUGUAAAGUACUUUUGUUAGGGAAGAAAAGUCAGCUGUGAAUAAUGGCUGAUACUGACGGUACCUAAAGAAUAAGCACCGGCUAACUACGUGCCAGCAGCCGCGGUAAUACGUAGGGUGCGAGCGUUAAUCGGAAUUAUUGGGCGUAAAGCGAGUGUAGACGGUUAUUUAAGCCAGAUGUGAAAUACCCGAGCCUAACUUGGGAGGUGCAUAUGGAACUGGGUAGCUAGAGUGUGUCAGAGGGAGGUAGAACUCCACGUGUAGCAGUGAAAUGCGUAGAGAUGUGGAAGAAUACCGAUGGCGAAGGCAGCCUCCUGGGAUAACACUGACGUUGAGGCUCGAAAGCGUGGGGAGC